rnacentral:rRNA from 1 species
CCUACGGGUGGCAGCAGUGGGGAAUAUUGCGCAAUGGGCGAAAGCCUGACGAGCAAGGCCGCGGGAACGAGGAAGGUCUUCGGAUCGUAAAGUUCUGUUGAAGGGGAAAAAGAGCGGAGAGAGGAAAUGCUUUCUGAUUGAUAUUACCCUUCGAGGAAGUCACGGCUAACUACGUGCCAGCAGCCGCGGUAAUACGUAGGUGGCGAGCGUUAUCCGGAAUGAUUGGGCGUAAAGGGUGCGUAGGCGGCCUGCUAAGUCUGGAGGGAAAGGUACCGGCUCAACCGGUACAGGCUCUGGAAACUGGCGGGCUAUGGGGCAGGAGAGGGCGGUGGAACUCCAUGUGUAGCGGUACAAUGCGUAGAUAUAUGGAAGAACACCAGUGGCGAAGGCGGCCGCCUGGCCUGUUAACUGACGCUGAGGCACGAAAGCGUGGGGAGCAAAUAGGAUUAGAUACCCGAGUAGUC